AUACUCUCGUUUCUCCUCAGACCGAAUAAAUUUUUCGCCUUUUACUAAAAGAUUUCCGUGGGGAGGAACCGAAACGAGUUAACACACCAAUUUUUUGAGACCUCACUUCGGUGGGGUG